UACGUAGGGGGCAAGCGUUGUCCGGAUUUAUUGGGCGUAAAGAGCGUGUAGGCGGCCAGGUAGGUCUGCUGUGAAAACUCGAGGCUUAACCUCGAGAUGUCGGCGGAAACCAUCUGGCUAGAGUCCGGAAGAGGAGAGUGGAAUUCCUGGUGUAGCGGUGAAAUGCGCAGAUAUCAGGAAGAACACCCGUGGCGAAAGCGGCUCUCUGGAACGGUACUGACGCUGAGACGCGAAAGCGUGGGGAGCGAACAGG
rnacentral:rRNA from 1 species